rnacentral:misc_RNA from 1 species
GAUGAAGAAACGUAGCGAAAUGCGAUACGUAAUGUGAAUUGCAAAUUCAGUGAAUCAUCGAGUCUUUGAACGCACAUUGCGCCCCCUGGUAUUCCGGGGGGCAUGCCUGUCCGAGCGUCAUUGCUGCCCUCAAGCACGGCUUGUGUGUUGGGCCCCGUCCUCCGAUUCCGGGGGACGGGCCCGAAAGGCAGCGGCGGCACCGCGUCCGGUCCUCGAGCGUAUGGGGCUUUGUCACCCGCUCUGUAGGCCCGGCCGGCGCUUGCCGAUCAACCCAAAUUUUUAUCCAGGUUGACCUCGGAUCAGGUAGGGAUACCCGCUGAACUUAAGCAUAUCAAUAAGCGGAGGA